rnacentral:rRNA from 1 species
GACAGAGGGUGCAACGUUGUUCGGAAUUACUGGGCGUAAAGCGCGUGUAGGCGGCUUGGCAAGUCGGGUGUGAAAGCCCUGGGCUCAACCUAGGAAGUGCACUCGAAACUGCCUCGCUGGAGUGCCGGAGAGGAAAGCGGAAUUCUCGGUGUAGAGGUGAAAUUCGUAGAUAUCGAGAGGAACACCGGUGGCGAAGGCGGCUUUCUGGACGGUUACUGACGCUGAGACGCGAAAGCGUGGGGAGCAAACAGG